AUGAGCAAACAAACCGAGGCGGCACGGCAAGAGAAAAGCACAAACCUCCUUGGCGUUGGGGUUUGCGGGGGCGAUGUAGCGGUUGCCCUGGCUGUUGAUGGUGGGGCUGGCGCUGCCGCCGAUGGCGUACAUCUCCCACGCCGUGUAGUCGUUGUUGACGAUGUGGAAGUAGCCCCUGCGGCAGCGCGGCAUCCGCUGCACCAGCUGCACGCCGAAGUGGUUGAACGCGAUGGUCACCUGCAUCCCCGAGUCCGGGAGGUACCCGUCGCUGUGCCCCAGCAGCAUCACCUCGUCGUGGUGGGAGAAGUAGCUGUUGGACACGGUGAUGCCCGUCGACCCCAUGAUGGCGUCCACCAGCCCGUCCGCGCACCGGGACAGCGCGCAGUGGUCCACCCACACGUCCCGCGCCGAGAAGAGCGAGAUGCCGUCGCCGUCCGACCGGGUGCGCCACCCGUAGUGCGUCGGCGACGACCGCACGUUCGCGUUCCCCGCCGGCACGCAGUCGUGCACGUGCAGGUUGUGGAUGAUCACGUUGGACACGUACUGCAGCGUGAUGCACGCGCCGCCGGCGACGUGCACGUUCGCGCCGCGCCCGUCGAUGGUCUUGUAGCUGUUCACCAGCAGCUCCUCGUUGAGGCGGAUGGUCAUGUCCGCGGCGAACACGAUCCACAGCGGGCCCUCCUGGAUGGCGGCGUGCCGGAGCGUGCCGGGCGCCGGGUUCACGGGGUCGCGGUCCGAGGAGUCGGUCACAACGUACAACGGCCCGCCCUUGCCGCCCAGCGCGUUGCGGCCGAACCCGAUGCCGCAGUCCGCCAGCCGCUGCCGGUCCUUCCACCAGUCCGUCCCGGCGCACCGCCAGCAGUCGUCGAUCGGGUUGCCCGUCAUGCACCCGCCGCCUCCGCCCGUCUCCUGCAUCCGCCGCCGCGACGUCGCCACCUUGCUGCCCAUGCCAACGCCGACACGCCGCCGUUACGUUGCGAAAGAAGCGCGUAA
rnacentral:rRNA from 1 species